rnacentral:lncRNA from 1 species
CAUUAUUUUUAUACGACCGCAAAAUUUGAAAAAUUUUUCGUCGUAUAUUGCUAUCACGUUGGCGUCGUCGUCGUCGUCGUCCGGCGUCCGAAUACUUUUAGUUUUCGCACUCUAACUUUAGUAAAAGUGAAUGGAAAUCUAUGAAAUUUUAACACAAGGUUUAUGACCACAAAAGGAAGGUUGGUAUUGAUUUUGGGAGUUUUGGUCCCAACAUUUUAGGAAUUAGGGGCCAAAAAGGGCCC